GGAAGGCGCGUGGUGAGGUGUUUUUAUGCACAGCCUGGGGUUGCUUUUGCUCCGCGCUGCUGUAGCCUCUGGCCGGCCUGGGCCAGGUUUGCCCGGCGGAGUCGGUGCUUCACGUCGCGUCUCGCGGAGAGCCGCAGAAUGCCAGAGCGCCGGUGGCUUGACUUAAGGAGAACAACCCCCCGCUCCUGGACUAACGUGGUCUGACUUCUGUGUAAUUAGCUAUCUCACAAGGUCAUACAGAAGUUGAUUAGUGUGUGAGCCACUUACUCAUUUCCCAUAAUUGUUUAAGCGCGCUGUGUUCCGGGGCACUAACAUCUACGGAUUUAAUUACACAAAGUAUUCUGAGCCCUCUGUCCCUUAAUAUUGGAGCUCUGGAGUGUACGUCAGUACUGACGGAGACCGCAGGGGACUGGGGAGAAGAUGGAAGUUUCUAGGGAUGCGUGUUUUGCCUGGCAGAGCGAGGCCUCGUGCCAGGUCACGGCUGCAGUGAGCCGGGUUGUGACGGCCGGUGGUCCUGCGAGCAUCACUCAUCCCAUAGCGGGAUGCGAGUCCUGUAGCUGGCUAGGAGUUUGGAAAAGGAUUUCACGGGUGGGAGAGGUUGGUGCCUUUACCUUCACCGUGCCGCAGGUGAUGCAGCCGCUGCUGAGCUCCCACCCAGCUGCGGGAGGACGCUGGCGACGCUGGAGUCACGCACGGUUAUUUUGGUUUGUGUCUUUACACGAAAAUUGCAAACGCAGAGACUUCCUGUCUGAAGGCUCUGGACGUGCUGACCUCCCGGCCCCAGCGAGCUCGGGCCGUGCUCGCAGGGCUUUUCUGGGGUGGCCCGAGGGGAUAAGACGGAGCGUAAGUGGGCGCUGAACCCUUGUGCUGUGGUGUUAGAGCUGAGGACGUUGGUACAUUACUUUACACUUCAGUUUUCACCUGGCUGACGGUGUUUGGACCUGAUUAGAGGCCUUUUAAUUAAGGGCUGCUCUGCAGAGCCCACGUCGAUGCUUUGGGGCCGUCUUGGCUGGCGGGUGCGAAGGUUGGCGAGCAGCCGCAUGGAUUUGUGCCCGCAAGGAGGGAGCAUCGAUGGCUCCAGGAGGCCGGAAGACUGGGAGAGCAUCGCAGCGGGCGGAUGAGGACAGAGAAGCAGGUUUGUGUCUAACGCUGCCUGCCGGUAUGGGGAAGGACACGAGGAGCAUCCUCAUGGCGAUCUCCGUUCACGGCUCGGCAUUCCCCGCUGGCGCUGGGGAACGUGGAGGUGGCACAUGUCGGGGGCGGGGGGGAGAUGGCUGGGCUCCAGCUGCUUCCAAGGUUUCUCCAGCUGAUGAACAAUGGGACAGUCUCACAUGU